GCACCCAUAGCCAAGCUGGUUAAGGCGGAAGUCUGCAACACUUUGAUCGGUAGUUCAAAUCUACCUGGGUGCUCCA
rnacentral:tRNA from 1 species